GAAUGACCACUUGGGAGAGAUGAGGAUCCCGGUGCCACCACCCCGCUGACCAGAAGCUCUCGGGGUGUGCGAGAACACGUGGGCGGACGAAGAGAGAGCAGUAGGAGUAGCAGUGUUAUCUGUGGUGAUCCAUGUUUCCGUCAGUGCCAAGAAGUCGAGGGACUGGAGGGAGGCAUAGGCUGAGAUGAACUCUGCCUUGUUGGCCGCAGAUCGGCAGUUCCAGAGGCUACCGGAGACCUGGAACUCCACGUGGGUCGUGCGCUGGGACCACCAGAUUAGGGUGGCCGCGGCCACGCGGUGUGGAGCGUUUGUAUGGUCUGUGCAGAGAGGAGAUAACAGGGAUAGACAGACACAUAGUUGACAGGCUACCGAAGAGGCUACGCUAAUGCAAGGAGAUUGGAAUGACAAGUGGACUACACGUCUCGAAUGUUCAGAAAGUUAAGCUUAUGUAGCAAGAAUCUUAUUGACUAAAAUGAUUAAAAUGAUACAGUACUGCUGAAGUAGGCUAGCUGGCAGUGGCUACCUGUCCUUAGAUCAACCUCAAGGAGUGUGGACUCUACUGAGGGGGACCAGGGAUCUUCAGGUGUCUGGUGGACCGUGAGCCUCAUGUAAAGGGGGAUGAAGAUAUGAGAUGACUUGGGACAUUUGCAUUAGAUGAUCGUGGAAGUAGAAGAAGAUUAUGGAAAGUAGAACCAGCGAUUGAGACUGUUGGUUGCCAUGCUGAAUACAGCGGAUGAUGAACACUGCAUUCUGGGAUUGUUUCCGUUUUACCACUUUUUUUAUUUUUCUCCAUUUUCUCAACCCUCUGAUACACUGAGCUCAGGACAGAACUGAACUGUGGGGGGAAAACCUUAAUCAGUGAAAUACAGUCACUGAGACUUCUAUGGGAACUGCCAAGUCAGACUACAGAAUACUUCUGUUUUUAGUUCCAGAUCAUUUACACUGAACAAAAAUAUAUAAACGCAACAUAUAAAGUGUUGGUCCCAUGUUUCAUGAGCUGAAAUUAAAGACCUGGACAUUUUCCAUUCGCACAAAAAGCUUAUUUCUCUAGAAAUUUUGUGCAGAAUUUUGUUUACAUCCCUGUUAGUGAGCAUUUCUCCUUUGCCAAGAUAAUCCAUCCACCUGACAGGUGCGGCAUAUCAAGAUACUGAUUAAACAGCAUGAUCCUUACAUAGGUGCACCUUGUGCUGGGGGUAAUAUAAGAUAAGUCUUAAAGGUGCAGUUUUGUCACACAACACAAUAUCACAGAUGACCCAAGUUUUAGGGGACCGUGCAAUUGGCAUGCUGACUGCAGGACUGUCCACUAAAGCUAUUGCCAGAGAAUUGAAUGUUAAUUUCUCGUCUCCAACGUCGUUUUAGAGGAUUUGCCAAUACGUCCAACCGGCCUCACAACCGCAGACCACGUGUGAACCACGUCAGCCCAGGACCUCCAUAUCUGGCUUCUUCCCCAUCAGUCUGAGACGAGCCAGCCGGACAGCUGAUACAACUGUGGGUUUGUGCAACCUUGUCAGGGAAGCUCAUCUACUCUAUCUCCUCACCAGGGCCUUGACCUGACUGCAGUUCAACCUUGUCAGGGAAGCUCAUCUACUUAGCCUUGACCUGACUGCAGUUCAACCUUGUCAGGGAAGCUCAUCUACCUUGACCUGACUGCAGUUCAACCUUGUCAGGGAAGCUCAUCUACUUAGCCUUGACCUGACUGCAGUUCAACCUUGUCAGGGAAGCUCAUCUACUUAGCCUUGACCUGACUGCAGUUCAACCUUGUCAGGGAAGCUCAUCUACUUAGCCUUGACCUGACUGCAGUUCAACCUUGUCAGGGAAGCUCAUCUACUUAGCCUUGACCUGACUGCAGUUCGGCGUCGUAACCGACUUCAAUGGGCAAAUGCUCACCUUCGAUGGCCACUGGCACGCUGGAGAAGUGUGCUCUUCACAGAUGAAUCCUGGUUUCAACUGUACGGGGCCCAAGGAAUAGCCAAACAUCCUGUCCACCACCUUAGCAUCGCACCCCUUCCCCUCUACUCAUCAAAAUAACAUUGUUCUCCACCAUACACGCAGACAGCGUGUAUGGCGUUGUGUGGGCGAGCGGUUUGCUGAUGUCAACGUUGUUAACAGAGUGCCUCAUGGUGGUGGUGGGGUUAUGAUAAGGGCAGACAUUAACUACGGACAACGAACACAAUUGCAUUUUAUUGGUGGCAAUUUAAAUGCACAGAGAUACCGUGACGAGAUCCUGAGGCCCGUUGUCGUGCCAUUCAUCCACCGCCAUCACCUCAUGUUUCAGCAUGAUAAUGCACAGCCUCAUGUCGCAAGGAUCUGUACACAAUUUCUGGAAGCUGAACAUUUCCCAGUUAUUCUAUGGCCUCCAUGCUGCCACCCAUUUAGAAUGUUUAAGAUGCUCUGGAUCGACGUGUACGACAGCGUGUUCCAGUUCCUGCCAAUAUUCAGCAACUUCACACAGCCAUUGAAGAGGAGUGAGACAACAUUCCACAGGCCACCAAUCAACAGCCUGAUCAACUCUAUGAGAAGGAGAUGUGUCACGCAGCAUGAGGCAAAUGGUCACACCAGAUACUGACUGGUUUUCUGAUCCACAGAUGCAUAUCUAUAUUCCCAGUCAUGUGGAAUCCAUAGAUUAGGUCCUAAUUCAUUUAUUUAAAUUGACUGAUUUUCCUUAUAUGAACUGUAACUCAGUGAAAAUCUUUGCCAUUGUUGCAUGUUGCGUUUUUAUAUUUUUGUUCAGUGUAGUAAGGAGUGAUAUUUUUAUGGCAUUUGGUUGAUUUAUUAACCAACAAAUCACACAGAUAGAAAAAAAAAAAACAUCCGUGGCUGUGUCCCAAACGACACCCAAUCCCCUAUGUAGUGCAAUACCUUCGACCAGAGUAGUAGUGCACUACAUAGGGGAAUAGGGUGUCAUUGGAACACAUCCCUUCUGUCCAUUCCAGUGCUCCCAUCUAUAGAUUGACACAAUACUGGUAUACACUGAGUGUACAAAACAUUAAGAACAACUUCCUUCCAUUGCCCUCAGAACAGCCUCAAAUCACCGGGGAAUGUUGUCGAAAAGCAUUGUAGAGGGAUACUGGCCCAUGUUGACUCCAAUGCUUGCCAUAGUUGUGUUAAAUUGGCUGAAUGUCCUUUGGGUGGUGGCCCAUGUUGACUCCAAUGCUUGCCAUAGUUGUGUUAAAUUGGCUGGGUGUCCUUUGGGUGGUGGACCAUGUUGACUCCAAUGCUUGCCAUAGUUGUGUUAAAUUGGCUGGGUGUCCUUUGGGUGGUGGACCAUGUUGACUCCAAUGCUUGCCAUAGUUGUGUUAAAUUGGCUGAAUGUCCUUUGGGUGGUGGCCCAUGUUGACUCCAAUGCUUGCCAUAGUUGUGUUAAAUUGGCUGAAUGUCCUUUGGGUGGUGGCCCAUGUUGACUCUAAUGCUUGCCAUAGUUGUGUUAAAUUGGCUGAAUGUCCUUUGGGUGGUGGCCCAUGUUGACUCCAAUGCUUGCCAUAGUUGUGUUAAAUUGGCUGAAUGUCCUUUGGGUGGUGGCCCAUGUUGACUCCAAUGCUUGCCAUAGUUGUGUUAAAUUGGCUGGGUGUCCUUUGGGUGGUGGACCAUGUUGACUCCAAUGCUUGCCAUAGUUGUGUUAAAUUGGCUGGGUGUCCUUUGGGUGGUGGACCAUGUUGACUCCAAUGCUUGCCAUAGUUGUGUUAAAUUGGCUGGGUGUCCUUUAGGUGGUGGACCAUGUUGACUCCAAUGCUUGCCAUAGUUGUGUUAAAUUGGCUGAAUGUCCUUUGGGUGGUGGCCCAUGUUGACUCCAAUGCUUGCCAUAGUUGUGUUAAAUUGGCUGAAUGUCCUUUGGGUGGUGGACCAUGUUGACUCCAAUGCUUGCCAUAGUUGUGUUAAAUUGGCUGGAUGUCCUUUAGGUGGUGGACCAUGUUGACUCCAAUGCUUCCCAUAGUUGUGUUAAAUUGGCUGGAUGUCCUUUGGGUGGUGGACCAUGUUGACUCCAAUGCUUGCCAUAGUUGUGUUAAAUUGGCUGGAUGUCCUUUGUGUGGUGGACCAUGUUGACUCCAAUGCUUGCCAUAGUUGUGUCAAGUUGGCUGGAUGUCCUUUAGGUGGUGGACCAUGUUGACUCCAAUGCUUGCCAUAGUUGUGUCAAGUUGGCUGGAUGUCCUUUAGGUGGUGGACCAUGUUGACUCCAAUGCUUGCCAUAGUUGUGUCAAGUUGGCUGGAUGUCCUUUAGGUGGUGGACCAUGUUGACUCCAAUGCUUGCCAUAGUUGUGUCAAGUUGGCUGGAUGUCCUUUAGGUGGUGGACCAUGUUGACUCCAAUGCUUGCCAUAGUUGUGUCAAGUUGGCUGGAUGUCCUUUAGGUGGUGGACCAUGUUGACUCCAAUGCUUGCCAUAGUUGUGUCAAGUUGGCUGGAUGUCCUUUAGGUGGUGGACCAUGUUGACUCCAAUGCUUGCCAUAGUUGUGUCAAGUUGGCUGGAUGUCCUUUAGGUGGUGGACCAUGUUGACUCCAAUGCUUGCCAUAGUUGUGUCAAGUUGGCUGGAUGUCCUUUAGGUGGUGGACCAUGUUGACUCCAAUGCUUGCCAUAGUUGUGUCAAGUUGGCUGGAUGUCCUUUAGGUGGUGGACCAUGUUGACUCCAAUGCUUGCCAUAGUUGUGUCAAGUUGGCUGGAUGUCCUUUAGGUGGUGGACCAUGUUGACUCCAAUGCUUGCCAUAGUUGUGUCAAGUUGGCUGGAUGUCCUUUAGGUGGUGGACCAUGUUGACUCCAAUGCUUGCCAUAGUUGUGUCAAGUUGGCUGGAUGUCCUUUAGGUGGUGGACCAUGUUGACUCCAAUGCUUGCCAUAGUUGUGUCAAGUUGGCUGGAUGUCCUUUAGGUGGUGGACCAUGUUGACUCCAAUGCUUGCCAUAGUUGUGUCAAGUUGGCUGGAUGUCCUUUAGGUGGUGGACCAUGUUGACUCCAAUGCUUGCCAUAGUUGUGUCAAGUUGGCUGGAUGUCCUUUAGGUGGUGGACCAUGUUGACUCCAAUGCUUGCCAUAGUUGUGUCAAGUUGGCUGGAUGUCCUUUAGGUGGUGGACCAUGUUGACUCCAAUGCUUGCCAUAGUUGUGUCAAGUUGGCUGGAUGUCCUUUAGGUGGUGGACCAUGUUGACUCCAAUGCUUGCCAUAGUUGUGUCAAGUUGGCUGGAUGUCCUUUAGGUGGUGGACCAUGUUGACUCCAAUGCUUGCCAUAGUUGUGUCAAGUUGGCUGGAUGUCCUUUAGGUGGUGGACCAUGUUGACUCCAAUGCUUGCCAUAGUUGUGUCAAGUUGGCUGGAUGUCCUUUAGGUGGUGGACCAUGUUGACUCCAAUGCUUGCCAUAGUUGUGUCAAGUUGGCUGGAUGUCCUUUAGGUGGUGGCCCAUUCUUGAUACACAUGGGAAACUGUUGAGCGUGAAAAACCUCAGCAGAGUUGCAGUUCUUGACACAAACGUACUUAUAUCUGAGAUAUAAAAAGAUCAGGAAACAUGUUCAGUACCCGUCCAAAGUUUGAAUACACCUCAUUCAAGGAGUUUUCUUUAUUUUUACUAUUUUCUACAUUGUUGAAUAAUCGUGAAGACGUCAAAACUAUGAAAUAACACAUUUGGAAUCAUGUAGUAACUAGCCUCCUUGAUGACACCUUUGCACACUCUUGGCAUUCUCUCAACCAGCUUCACCUGGAAUGGUUUUCCAACAGUCUUGAAGAAGUUUCCACAUAUACUGAGCACUUGUUGACUGCUUUUCCUUCACUCUGCGGUCCAACUCAUCGCAAACAGUUUGGUUGAGGUCAGGGGAUUGUGGAGGCCAGGUCAUCUGAUGCAGCACUCCAUCACUCUCCUUCUUGGUCAUAUAGCUCUUACACAGUCUGAAGGUGUGUUGGGUCAUUGUCCUGUUGAAAAACAAAUGAUAGUCCCACUAAGCCCAAACCAGAUGGGAUAGUGUUUUGCUGCAGAAUGCUGUGGUAGCCAUGCUGGUUAAUUGUGCCUUGAAUUCUAAAUAAAUCGCUGACUGUGUCACCAGCAAAUCACCCCCACACCAUCACACCUCCUCCUCCAUGCUUCACGGUGGGAACCACACAUGCUGAGAUCAUCCAUUCACCUACUCUGCGUCUCACAAAAACACAGCAGUUGGAACCAAAACUCUCAAAUAUGGACUCAUCAGACCAAAGGACAGAUUUCCACCAGUCUAAUUGUCCAUUGCUUGUGUUUCUUGGCCCAAGCAAGUCUCUUCUUAUUAUUGGUGAUCUUUCGUAGUGGUUUCUUUGCAGCAAUUCGACCAUGAAGGCCUGAUUCAUGCAGUCUCCUCUGAACAGUUGAUAUUGAGAUGUGUCUGUUACUUGAACUCUGUGAAGCAUUUAUUUGGGCUGCAAUGUGAGGUGCAGUUAACUCUAAUGAACUUUUCCUCUGCAGCAGAUGUAACUCUGGCACCU